rnacentral:rRNA from 1 species
GACGAACGCUGGCGGCGUGCCUAAUACAUGCAAGUCGAACGCAAAACUUUCACCGAAUGCUUGCAUUCACGAAAGUUUUGAGUGGCGAACGGGUGAGUAACACGUGGGUAACCUGCCCAGAAGAGGGGGAUAACACUUGGAAACAGGUGCUAAUACCGCAUAAUAACAAAAAACGCAUGGUUUUUGUUUGAAAGAUGGUUUUGCUAUCACUUCUGGAUGGACCUGCGGCGUAUUAGCUAGUUGGUAAGGUAAAGGCUUACCAAGGCAAUGAUACGUAGCCGAACUGAGAGGUUGAUCGGCCACAUUGGGACUGAGACACGGCCCAAACUCCUACGGGAGGCAGCAGUAGGGAAUCUUCCACAAUGGACGAAAGUCUGAUGGAGCAACGCCGCGUGAGUGAAGAAGGUUUUCGGAUCGUAAAACUCUGUUGUUAGAGAAGAACGUGUGUGAGAGUAACUGCUCAUGCAGUGACGGUAUCUAACCAGAAAGCCACGACUAACUACGUGCCAGCAGCCGCCGUAA